rnacentral:rRNA from 1 species
CUACACAUGCAGUCGACGGCAGCAUGAUCUAGCUUGCUAGAUUGAUGGCGAGUGGCGAACGGGUGAGUAAUACAUCGGAACGUGCCCUGUAGUGGGGGAUAACUAGUCGAAAGAUUAGCUAAUACCGCAUACGACCUGAGGGUGAAAGUGGGGGACCGCAAGGCCUCAUGCUAUAGGAGCGGCCGAUGUCUGAUUAGCUAGUUGGUGAGGUAAAGGCUCACCAAGGCGACGAUCAGUAGCUGGUCUGAGAGGACGAUCAGCCAUACUGGGACUGAGACACGGCCCAGACUCCUACGGGAGGCAGCAGUGGGGAAUUUUGGACAAUGGGCGAAAGCCUGAUCCAGCAAUGCCGCGUGUGUGAAGAAGGCCUUCGGGUUGUAAAGCACUUUUGUCCGGAAAGAAAUGGCUCUGGUUAAUACCUGGGGUCGAUGACGGUACCGGAAGAUAAGGACCGGCUAACUACGUGCCA